GAACGGCAAAGGCGAGACUCUCCGGAACGACGACGUCAGGACGCAAUCAUCGCCGUCGUCUACGACGGAGGAUGAGGAGUCGCAGUCGCUGUGGCAGUCAUCGGGUGGGACAGGGUGCACGGGUCUCCGCUGCAACUGAGCAUCGGAGGUGGGCCUGGGCUGGGGGCGGGGCCCACUGAAAGACUCGACGGUGCUGCUGAGGCUGCUGGAGGUGGGCCUGCUUGCCUGAACGACAUCGCAAACCGUGUCGUCGUCGUAGAGAGAAGGAUGAUGAGGAGGGAGGCGGUGGUUAUUGUUGAUGUCGUAAUCCGCGGCGGAGGUGGGGGGAGGGAAGUUGGUCUUGGCCUUGGGCCCGCGGAGAGAUCGGGCUGCGGCAUCGUAGGCUCGAGCCGCGUCCUCCGCCGAGUCGAAAGUUCCGAGCCAGACCCGAGUCUUUUUCCAGGGGUCUCUGAUCUCGGCGGCGAAUCG
rnacentral:lncRNA from 1 species